GAGCUCCCUUUUUUUUUUUUUUUAUCAAUUUUAGAUUUUAAGUUUCUGGGUAAUGGGAUUUUAUUCAAUAAAAUUGGUGGCUUUUUUUCAGUUUUCUGAUUAUAUCUCAAAAAUGCUUUCACAAAGCAAGGAAUUUUUGGUGAAUUGUUUAUAUCUAUUAACAUGAGGUCGCUUUCAAUUUUUAUAAAUUUUAGAUUUUACGUUUCUGAGUAAACGGGUUUUAUUAAUUAAAAAGGGGGGAUUUUCCAGUUUUCAGACAUUAACACAAA
rnacentral:lncRNA from 1 species